rnacentral:rRNA from 1 species
AUUGAACGCUGGCGGCAUGCUUUACACAUGCAAGUCGAACGGUAACAGGGUGCUUGCACCGCUGACGAGUGGCGAACGGGUGAGUAAUGCGUCGGAACGUGCCGAGUAGUGGGGGAUAACGCAGCGAAAGUUGUGCUAAUACCGCAUACGUACUGAGGUAGAAAGUGGGGGACCUUCGGGCCUCACGCUAUUCGAGCGGCCGACGUCUGAUUAGGUAGUUGGUGGGGUAAAGGCUCACCAAGCCGACGAUCUGUAGCUGGUCUGAGAGGACGACCAGCCACACUGGGACUGAGACACGGCCCAGACUCCUACGGGAGGCAGCAGUGGGGAAUUUUGGACAAUGGGCGAAAGCCUGAUCCAGCCAUGCCGCGUGCAGGAUGAAGGCCUUCGGGUUGUAAACUGCUUUUGUACGGAACGAAAAGGUUUGGGCUAAUAAGCUGAGCUCAUGACGGUACCGUAAGAAUAAGCACCGGCUAACUGCGUGCCAGCAGCCGCAGUAA